UAAGAACGAGAGCAACUCAGAACCCCUCCGGGGUGAUGAUGAUAGCUCCGGAUUGUGCCAGUUCUGAGUUUCUCGUUCAUUGGCA
rnacentral:pre_miRNA from 1 species